rnacentral:rRNA from 1 species
AGAUUGAACGCUGGCGGCAUGCCUAACACAUGCAAGUCGAACGGGAGUAGCAAUACUCUAGUGGCGGACGGGUGAGGAAUACGUAGGAAUUUGCCCUUAAGUGGGGGAUAACCCGGGGAAACCCGGAUUAAUACCGCAUGACCUCGAAAGAGCAAAGUGGGGGAUCGCAAGACCUCACGCUUUUGGAGAAGCCUACGUCGGAUUAGCUAGUUGGUGAGGUAAUGGCUCACCAAGGCGACGAUCCGUAACUGGUACUGAGAGGAUGAUCAGUCA